rnacentral:rRNA from 1 species
GAUGAACGCUAGCUACAGGCUUAACACAUGCAAGUCGAGGGGCAGCAUAAAACUAGCUUGCUAGUUUUGAUGGCGACCGGCGCACGGGUGAGUAACGCGUAUCCGACCUACCCAUAACACGGGCACAGCCGCUCGAAAGAGUGAUUGAUUCCCGAUAUGUCUUGUGAGUAGAUUUCAAGAUGAAAGAUUUAUCGGUUAUGGAUGGGGAUGCGUAAGAUUAGGUAGUAGGCGGGGUAACGGCCCACCUAGCCGACGAUCUUUAGGGGUUCUGAGAGGAAGGUCCCCCACACUGGUACUGAGACACGGACCAGACUCCUACGGGAGGCAGCAGUGAGGAAUAUUGUUCAAUGGGCGGAAGCUUGAACCAGCCAAGUAGCGUGAAGGAUUACAGCCCUACGGGUUUUAAACUUCUUUUAUAUAAGAGUAAUGUGUACUACGUGUAGUGUAUUGCAAGUAUUAUAUGAAUAAGCAUCGGCUAACUCCGUGCCAGCCGCCGCCGUAACAC